GGUGUUUGGAGGCCCCUCACAGCUGGCAGCAUCUCUGAAAAGUGCAGCUCCAUGGGGAAAGCCCAUCAAAACAAACUGGAUUACAUGGAACAAUGUUCUGGAUCAUCCUGUUCAUGGAUCAUUGAACCAACAUUCAACAUAUUUAAAUCUUCUGACUCACAAUGCAACUCCAGUUUAGGACCAUUGGAGGAUGAGGUAGUCCCAUUAUUGGAGCUAUCCAAUUAUUUAGGGUUUGCUGAAGAGGAUGAAGACACAUGUUCAAUAACAGAAAGAAGAGAAGUCCAAGACAGAAAGAGGGAGGAG